rnacentral:rRNA from 1 species
GAUGAACGCUGGCGGCGUGCUUAACACAUGCAAGUCGAACGGAAAGGCCCGGCUUUUGUGGGGUGCUCGAGUGGCGAACGGGUGAGUAACACGUGAGUAACCUGCCCUUGACUGUGGGAUAACUUCAGGAAACUGGGGCUAAUACCGGAUAGGAGCUCCUGCUGCAUGGUGGGGGUUGGAAAGUUUCGGCGGUUGGGGAUGGACUCGCGGCUUACCAGCUGGUUGGUGGGGUAGUGGCUUACCAGGGCUUUGACGGGUAGCCGGCCUGAGAGGGUGACCGGCCACAUUGGGACUGAGAUACGCCCCAGACUCCUACCGGAGGCAGCAGUGGGGAAUAUUGCACAAUGGGCGGAAGCCUGAUGCAGCAACGCCGCGUGCGGGAUGACGGCCUUCGGGUUGUAAACCGCUUUCGCCUGUGACGAAGCGUGAGUGACGGUAAUGGGUAAAGAAGCACCGGCUAACUACGUG